rnacentral:rRNA from 1 species
AUCUGGGCGGCGGAAUUCAGGAUGGCUGGCGGGCUUCGCGCUUGUCCGGUCGUUUGAUAUUUCCGUCGCCGUGUCGGACGUCGCGACCUGUUUGUCGUCGGUCCAUGCUCGGAGGAAUCGCGAUCGAGUUCGUUGCGCGGUGCGUUUCGGCGUGCCGAGCGGCGAAGACGCGGCUCUCUGGCUGACGNCGGACAGUAAGCAACGGUGUCCGGCGUCGUGUCUCGCACUCGACGUCGGUGCCGGUCUGCGACGAUUUCUUCGGGCCUCUUUCCGACCCGUCUUGAAACACGGACCAAGGAGUCUAACAUGCGCGCGAGUCGCGGGGUUUCGAGCGUACCACGGUACGCUCGUUACUUGCGAAACCCGUACGUUGAAGGCGUAAUGAAAGUGAACAGGGAAGAUGGCGUUCCGAGUCCACGUACCGUGAUCGAGUGUCGCGGCCGGACGUCCGCACUCCCGGGGCGUCUCAAUGGCUCGUCGCGGAUGCGGACGGUCGUCUCUCGGGGCGGCCGUCGGUCUGCGACGGACCGA